GUGCCUUAAACUAAUGAGUAAGGAAAAUAUAAAUCGCACGUGAUGGUGCGGUUAUGCCAUAACAUUAACGGCUUUUAAUUUUUGAAGGGGUCCAGGUCGUACUUGGGUGGCCUACCUACUUUCGUAGGAUGCCCUCGAUGCUGCGAUCUGCCCU
rnacentral:snRNA from 1 species